AUGCAAUCAAUCUAUUGCAUAAGCAUGAUGCAUGAAACAUGCUAAACGCAUUUGAUUUCUCAAUUAAAAGGAUUAAGUUUAGUUCCACUCACCUCUGGCUAACUCUGUACUGACUCUGAAAACUCUGAAGCAGCUAACACUGCUGAUCUCUUCGGUUCCUCUGGUCCGUUCCUACACAGGUGGACUCAAAUGAGGGACCAAACUAACUCAAGAACAUCUCUAUAAAACUCCCCAAAAACCCC
rnacentral:lncRNA from 1 species